rfam:Ornithorhynchus anatinus chromosome 1, whole genome shotgun sequence.
AGCAGUGUGGCCUAAUGGAUAGAGCACAGGCCUGGGAGUCAGAAGGACCUGGGUUCUAAUCCCAGCUCUGCCA